rnacentral:misc_RNA from 1 species
GAUGAAGAACGCAGCGAAAUGCGAUAAGUAAUGUGAAUUGCAGAAUUCAGUGAAUCAUCGAAUCUUUGAACGCACAUUGCGCCCCUUGGUAUUCCGAGGGGCAUGCCUGUUCGAGCGUCAUAUUAACCACUCCCGCUUGCGGGGUCUUGGGCUUCGCCUCCGGGCGGGCCUUAAAAUCAGUGGCGGUGCCGUCGGGCUCUACGCGUAGUAAAUUUUCUCGCGAUAGGGUCCCGGUGGAUGCUUGCCAACAACCCCCAACUUCUUAAGGUUGACCUCGUAUCAGGUAGGGAUACCCGCUGAACUUAAGCAUAUCAAUAAGCGGAGGA